UAAACUGGACACUGUCUUAGGUGAUGCAGUGUUAUUUUAGAGGGCCAACACUGAUGAGCACCCAGACGACAACACUCUGCCAUGUGUACCUCAAACUUAAUAAAGAAGAAAAUCUGUCAGAGGAAGACUUUACAGGCAAAUGAUGCACAGGGCUACCCUGCAAAGUCCAGACA